rnacentral:rRNA from 1 species
AAGUCGUAACAAGGUUUCCGUAGGUGAACCUGCGGAAGGAUCAUUACCGAACUGUCGACACGAGCUGUCGCUGGCCCUCAAAAGGGGGCACAUGCACGCUCUGUUUGCACAUCCACUCACACCUGUGCACCCUCUGUAGUUCUAUGGCCUUGGGGACCCCGUCCCCUCGCUGUGGUCCUACGUUUUUACACACACACCGUAACAAAGUCUCAUGGAAUGUAUGCCGCGUUUAACGCAAUACAAUACAACUUUCAGCAACGGAUCUCUUGGCUCUCGCAUCGAUGAAGAACGCAGCGAAAUGCGAUAAGUAAUGUGAAUUGCAGAAUUCAGUGAAUCAUCGAAUCUUUGAACGCACCUUGCGCCCUUUGGCUAUUCCGAAGGGCAUGCCUGUUUGAGUAUCAUGAACACCUCAACUCUCAUGGUCCGCCAUGAUGAGCUUGGACUUUGGGGGUUUUGCCGGCCCACGUCGGCUCCUCUAAAAUGGAUCAGCUUACCGGUGUUUGGUGGCAUCACGGGUGUGAUAACUAUCUACGCUUGUGGUUCCCCACCAUGCAGCCUUCAGCGAUGGAGGCUCAUCGGAGCUCAUAGAUGUCUCUCCACAGUGAGGACGACUUUUUGAACGUUUGAUCUCAAAUCAGGUAGGGCUACCCGCUGAACUUAA